ACCUUUAGCUCAGUUGGUAGAGCAACUGACUCUUAAUCAGUGGGUCCACGGUUCGAGUCCGUGAAGG
rnacentral:tRNA from 1 species